rnacentral:piRNA from 1 species
UUUGAGGUCAUCCUACUUGAAAGGGUGUGU